GCUAAACAGAGGAACUGAGGGGGCCUUCAUCUACCGUCAUUGGUUAUAAGGAAGAACAAACACCAGAAAUAUGAGGAGGCUGUUUAACAGAACCAAGUGACACGCUCACGGAGCUUUGCCGUAAUGUGCUCUAGCAGUGCCUGGCGUGUUUGAACAACUUCCUGCUCAGAUGCUGACAGCAUGUGGUAUGACAUUAUCAGUGUGUGCACAAUGAGGAUGGAUCCAGUGGCGUUCAGCACCAGGACAAGAAGCAACAGGCACAAAUUGUAACAAAAGAGGUUCCAUCUGAACAUUAGGGAGUAAUUCUGGGCUGUGCAGGUGCUGGAGCACUGGCAUAAGAUGCCAAGAGAAACUGUGGAGUCUCCCCACUCAGAGAUCUUCAUAAAACAUCUGUAGGUGGUCCUGGGUAUCCUCUUCUGUGUGUCCCUGCUUGAGCGGGGAGGCAGGACCAGAUGUCCUGCAGAGGUCACAUCCAACCUUAACCGUUCUGUGAUUGUAUGGCCACCUGGAUACAGAGCUGCUGACCACAUCUCUGACUGUGGCCAUCCAGCUGACUCCUGAUCCACUGUACAGUCAACCUUUCAAAUCCAUUGCACUCCAACUUACAGAUGUGGAUGCUGUGUCAACACACAUACCUGCUUCAUUACCUGUUUUGGAUGUGCAUCUUUUCUUGCACCACGGUGUCAGCUGUGGACCUGCUCCAGAAUGGGCAGAGGAAAGUCAAUUCCUUGCUCUGGGAAGAUAGCUGCUAACUUCAGACACUGAAUUCUACUGUGUGAACUACAAACCUUAUUUGUGGAGUGCUAAGUCUCAUUACAACCAAAAUCAUUUUGAAGUCUGAUCAUUGAUCUUUUCACUUAUCACCAUAUUUCACAUAUGGCUACAUUUUUGUCUUCUACCCAAAAAGAAGUGUUUUGAUAUUUGGUUGAGUCACCCUGGGCAGGGAGAUCACAUGUAAGACGAUUCUCACGAAUUCAUAAACAUGAAUACAUUUAUCUAAAUAUUAAGUCCUUCUGAAUUCUACCCAAGUAUUUAUGGCUACCUCAUACUGUAGUCAUUUAGGACUCCUCUGUUUCAGCUCAUGAAACACUCAUGGGUUUAAAAGAAAAUAAAAACAUUAUUCUUGCUAGAAAUGGCAAGCUCUGUGUAGUUAGGCUAUCAGAGAAGGCAUACAGAAACGAGGAAGACAUCAAAAACUGAAGAUACUUUGAAAUACUCACCAAGUCAUUCCCACUGGCAAUCGCUAAGGAAAGUGGCGAAUGGCCGCUCCACAAUGUGUUUGGAUUUGCCUUAUGCAUUAAAAGGAGGCGGAUAACAUCUCUGGCAUCCUUUGUAGGUAGGU